rnacentral:misc_RNA from 1 species
CAGUGCUGUUAGUGGAAAUGGACUUCUAAUUCCUGAAGCUGAUAACAAGCAAGAGCGGAAUUUGCCUGAGAGUGGGACAAAGAAGGAUCAAAGCUACAAAAGAAAAGCUCAGAAUAGUUUGAGCAAGUUCAGUAACAAGAAAAGUCUUGACUUGCCUCGUCGUUUUUCGAAGCGACUAGCUGCGAUUGAACCUGAGCUGGUAGGCAAUGAAAGUUCUGCUCUUGCUUAUUACCAGCU